rnacentral:rRNA from 1 species
AUUGAACGCUGGCGGCAUGCCUUACACAUGCAAGUCGAACGGUAACGCGGGGCAACCUGGCGACGAGUGGCGAACGGGUGAGUAAUGCAUCGGAACGUGCCCAAUAGUGGGGGAUAGCCCGGCGAAAGCCGGAUUAAUACCGCAUACGACCUGAGGGUGAAAGCGGGGGAUCGCAAGACCUCGCGCUUUUGGAGCGGCCGAUGUCGGAUUAGCUAGUUGGUGGGGUAAAGGCCUACCAAGGCUACGAUCCGUAGCUGGUCUGAGAGGACGACCAGCCACACUGGGACUGGGACACGGCCCAGACUCCUACGGGAGGCAGCAGUGGGGAAUUUUGGACAAUGGGGGCAACCCUGAUCCAGCCAUGCCGCGUGCGGGAAGAAGGCCUUCGGGUUGUAAACCGCUUUUGUCAGGGAAGAAACGGCUUGGGUUAAUACCCCGGGCUAAUGACGGUACCUGAAGAAUAAGCACCGGCUAACUACGUGCCAGCAGCCGCCGUAAAAC